rnacentral:lncRNA from 1 species
AUUGUGUAAGGAAGAACUGAUAUAUCUCAUGUCUUGUGUUAUGAUGUAUUGUGUAAGGAAGAACUGAUAUAUCUCAUGUCUUGUGUUAUGAUGUUUGCAAUAUAUUUAGAAAUCCAAAGUGAUAUUUGUGUAGAGUACAGGAGAAGUGCAUGUGAAGUAUAAUGAAACGCAUUACAAUUCAUAUAAUUAUGAAGUUUGGAGACAGCAACCAAGUGACGUAAAAAUGUAAUGACAUAUAUUAAGUUUUUCUGAGUUGCUCUGUGUAGUGUGUAAUGACAUAUUUUAUGUUUUUUUAGUUGCUCUGUGUAGUGUGUAAUGACAUAUUUUAUGUUUUUUUUAGUUGCUCUGUGUAGUGUGUAAUGACAUAUUUUAUGUUUUUUUUAGUUGCUCUGUGUAGUGUGUAAUGACAUAUUUUAUGUUUUUUUUAGCUGCUCUGUGUAGUGUGUAAUGACAUAUUUUAUGUUUUUUUUGUUGCUUUGUGUAGUGUGUAAUGACAUAUUUUAUGCUUUUUUGAGCUGCUGUGUGUAGUGUGUAAUGACAUAUUUUAUGUUUUUUGUGUUGCUUUGUGUAGUGUGUAAUGAUAUAUUUUAUGCUUUUUUGAGCUGCUCUGUGUAGUGUGUAAAGACAUAUUUUAUAUUUUUUUGAGCUGCUCUGUUUAGUGUGUAAUGACAUAUAUUAUGUUUUUUGUGUUGCUUUGUGUAGUGUGUAAUGACAUAUAUUAUGUUUUUUGUGUUGCUUUGUGUAGUGUGUAAUGACAUAUUUUAUGUUUUUUGUGUUGCUUUGUGUAGUUUAUAAUGACAUAUUUUAUGCUUUUUUUAGCUGCUCUGUGUAGUGUGUAAUGACAUAUUUAUGUGUUUUUGAGCUGCUCUGUGUAGUGUGUAACAAGUGAAACUGUGAGCUACUGCUCACUGAUGAUACCCCCCCCGCAAGUGGAUAAUAUUAAUAGUGUAAAAAUAUGCAAGUGUUCGGUAAACAGGAAGUUGUCGAGUGAUGAAUCUGAA